AUCCUCUGAAAUGAAACCACAGGUGUUGCAAUCUACUAUGUAUUCAUUACAAGGAACAAAGAAAUGAGUAUAAAAGAGGAAACACAACAUUAAAACUAAUUAAAGUAUUGCCACACGUAGAAUUUGAUAUCAUAAGCAAAUAAGGGGUUUCGAAGAUGAAAGCUAUUAUCUUCAUUCUUGUUGCAGCAACAAUCCUAUCCGCCUGCGAUGGUUGUCCUUUAUAUUUAAGGAAAAACUAGUGUCACUGUUUUUGUUCUGAUAUGUAUUCGUCUUGUCAGAAUAGAUGCCCUGGAAACGGCUUGUGGCGUAUCAUGUGUCUAAAUCAAUGUGUAAAACACUACUCGUACUGCAGUGGAAACUGUCGACGCAGACAGGGCUGAAUGCGGAUUGGUCUAAAUAUUUGCAAAGAAAAGAAUCGACAGACCAAAAAAGAUCCAAUGAUGUAAUUUUCAAUAAAUUGUCAUUAAAACGGU